rnacentral:rRNA from 1 species
GCUGAUGCAGCCAUGCCGCGUGUAUGAUGAAGGCCUUCGGGUUGUAAAGCACUUUCAGCGGGGAAGAAGGGAGUAAAGUUAAUACCUUUGCUCAUUGACGGUACCCGCAGAAAAAGCACCGGCUAACUCCGUGCCAGCAGCCGCGAUAAUAA